rnacentral:rRNA from 1 species
CGGAGGAUCCAAGCGUUAUCCGGAAUCAUUGGGUUUAAAGGGUCCGUAGGCGGGUUUAUAAGUCAGUGGUGAAAGCCCAUCGCUCAACGAUGGAACGGCCAUUGAUACUGUAGAUCUUGAAUUAUUAGGAAGUAACUAGAAUAUGUAGUGUAGCGGUGAAAUGCUUAGAGAUUACAUGGAAUACCGAUUGCGAAGGCAGGUUACUACUAAUGGAUUGACGCUGAUGGACGAAAGCGUGGGUAGCGAACAGGAUUAGAUACCCUGGUAGUCCACGCCGUAAACGAUGGAUACUAGCUGUUCGGAGCAAUCUGAGUGGCUAAGCGAAAGUGAUAAGUAUCCCACCUGGGGAGUACGUUCGCAAGAAUG